rnacentral:piRNA from 1 species
UCAUGUGGAAUUAUAUUCUGUAAUGUCAGA